rnacentral:rRNA from 1 species
GACAGAGGGGGCAAGCGUUGCUCGGAAUUACUGGGCGUAAAGCGCGUUCAGGCGGUUUGGCAAGUCGGGCAUGAAAUCUCUCGGCUCAACCGGGAGAGGUUGUCCGAUACUUCCAGACUUGAGGGCAGUAGAGGGUGGUGGAAUUCCGGGUGUAGUGGUGAAAUGCGUAGAUAUCCGGAGGAACACCAGUGGCGUAAGCGGCCACCUGGACUGCACCUGACGCUGACACGCGAAAGCUAGGGGAGCGAACGGG